rnacentral:lncRNA from 1 species
ACUGUGACAUCCCCAAAAUCACGGCCAGAAAAGACCGAUUACAUUUAUGCUUUUUAAAAUAAUUUCAGAGUAAAUCCUUUUGAUUUAAAAGUGUUGCGGAAUUUGUUCCCAAAAUAAAACAUGAUAAAAUAAUAUUUAUCAAAGCAUUUCAUCAAGAGAUGCAUUUCAUUAUAUAAUCAAAACUCGGGAUGUCAUGUUCAGAUACAUACCAUAAAGCAUAAACGAUAAACAUUACAAGUCAUUCAACAAAUAUAUACAUAUACAGACUUGUAAACAAAACAACAAGAUGAUCCAUCCAUCUUACGCCCUUGUGCCACUUCCUGUAAUACAAAUAAAACUGAGUGGGUCAGGCUUGGGAGCCUGGUGAGCAUAUAGGGUUUUCAACCCACAAUAAAUAAGUUAUAUUUAAUUUCACCAACCAAUCACUAUCCCGAUUACCCAUUCCCGUUAUCCUCACUUUACGUCCCUAAAACAACUAUCUCAAGGGACCUAAUCUAGGAUUUUCAUCGGGACGGACAUCACUGCGAAGGGGUUUCCUCAACAAUAGAUAUCCUAAAGGCAACCAUGAGGGGGAUAGAGUACACCGGUGAACACAUCGUUCACAACACCUACAGGUUAUGAACCUGCUAGCGUUCCACUGGACUGUCUAGAAAGAGUCCGUGGUCGUUAUCCAUACUCCGCUGAAUAACUAGAUCAACAACAACAACAACAUCGAGGCCUCUCAUCUGUUUAUUACACACCAACUAUCUACCCAUGUUCUACCCAACAUAUUAGUAGAUAAAAAUAUAUAUUUUCAUACGUAGUUUAAAGAAAACCUGUAUAGCAUGCUUUAAUCAACACAUAUGUCACAUAACAGAUGAGGCACACACACAUAACACAUAUCUCAUAAAGAAAUAAGCAGAUCUAUAAGAUAGAAGAGAGUGAAUACUCAUUCACACAUAACACAACCAAAUAUAUACACAUAGCACGUAUUUUUAUAUAAAAUACUUCGUAUUAUUGUAUUAGAAGAAAUAACUACACACUCACUUGAUCAGAAGACGAUCCGACAGCACUACGGCUUAUAGAAGUAGUAAUCCACAGCAGAUCUGGAAGAUCUCCUCGAAAAUCGAACUUCUCGCGGGCAGAGCUUCGACUCGGGAACCGCGCUUCUCGGGAUCUUCGGGAUCUCGGGACUUGCCUCGGGGCUAGAGUAUGAUACCGGGACUUCGGGGUAGCUUCGGGGGUUUUUGCACAGAGCUUCGACACGAAAACGAGAGGGAAUUGGCAAAAAUACCCGGAACCCUCGCAUCCUAUUUAUAGGAGGCUGGAGCCUCGGAGUACGCGGGGCGUACUGCGUUACGCGGGGCGUACUGCCCAAAACGUCAUUGCUUACGUAUCCGAAGUGCUCGAGUGCGAGUGUCGACAUCCCUCGGAGUACGCGGGGCGUACUCGAGUACGCGGGGCGUACCUCGGAUCAGAUCGGUGACUCCUUCGGAUAAUGCUUCCGAAUUUUGAUUUAAAUAUAAAUACAAAAUGAUUAAUAAACUUCGGAAAUUCAUAACUUCUUCAUACGAACUCCGUUUUCGACGUUCUUUAUAUCCACGGAAAGGUGAGACCACGCUCUACGACUUUCGUUUAGACUCCGUCGGCUAAUUUUGACUUUAUUUUUAUUAAUUAUUUUUAAUAGGCCGCGACAGAAACUUUCGUUAUAAAUUCAUAACUUCUUCGUUUGACGUCCGUUCUCGCCUAACUUUUUAUCGCUUCGAUACCAACAAUGAGAUCUUCGAUUCUCAUUUAGAUUGCUUCGGCUAACAACCGCUCGAUCUCAAAUCGAGUAAAACAGGCUGUAUACCGCUAAGCCGGAACUUCGAUAAAUCAUAACUUCCUCAUACGAAGUCAGAUUUGGGCGUUCUAUAUAUAUUCGGAAACCUCGUUUCAACUACUACAACAUUAACCAAAGAUAUUAAGUUUAUUUUACACUUAAAUUUUGACGCUUAUUUUUAUUCUUAAUUAAUCAAACCACAUAAUUAAGCAAUUAAGCACAAAACACAUAAUACUCAAAUAAUACAAUCUUAUUAUUUCAAAACGGGUUACAAAGGUUAACCUAGACUAUUACAUUGCUAAAAAUGGCAAGCCCGGAAACACAGGCGUUACAAUUCUCUCCACCUUAGAAUGAUUCCGUCCCCGGAAUCACACAUCAACAAACAAAUGCGGAUAGCGACUCAACAUGUCACUCUCCGUCUCCCAGGUGAGAUUCGGCCCAUUCGUGUGUUUCCAUCGGACAAGCACUAACCCAACCAUUUUGCGUCGCAACUUCUUAGUCUUUCGGUCAACAAUUGCCUCUGGUUCUUCAAUCAACCUUUUGUUCUCAUCAAUUCUCAAUUCAGAAAUUGGAAUUAUAUCGGGAACUUCUCCCGUGAACUUCCUCAAAUAACACACAUGAAAAGUGUUGUGAAUUCCAUUCAGUUCUUCGGGUAAUUCGAGCUUGUAAGCUUGGUUCCCAAUCCUCUGAAGAACUUUAAACGGUCCAAUAAACCUUGGACUCAACUUUCCCCUUUUACCAAAUCUUAUAAGUCCCUUCCACGGCGAGACUUUAAGCAAAACCGAAUCCCCAACCUCAAAAGUUAUCGGUCUCCGCUUCUUGUCAGCAUAGCUCUUUUGACGAUCCUGAGCUGCUAACAUUCUUUCCCUAAUUAUUUUCAACUUUUCAGCAGUUUGAUGAACCAACUCCGGUCCCAUAAACUGCUUUUCCCCAGCCUCAAGCCAACAAGACGGCGUACGACACUUCUGUCCAUACAAAGCUUGGUAAGGUGCCAUCUUAAUGCUCGAGUGGAAACUAUUAUUAUAGGAAAAUUCUACCAACGGUAAAUGUUCAUCCCAAUUACCUAGGAAUUCCAGAGUACAUGCUCUCAGCAUAUCUUCAAGUGUUUGUAUCGUUCGUUCGCUCUGACCAUCAGUCUGCGGAUGGUAAGCUGUACUUAAACACAACUUGGUACCCAAUUCCUCUUGUAGACUUUUCCAAAACCUCGAUGUGAAACGGCUAUCACGAUCCGACACAAUCGUUAACGGAACACCGUGAAGCCUCACAAUUUCCUUCACGUAAGAAUUCGCAAGCUUCUCCAUAGACCAUUUCUCCCUGGCCGCUAUGAAAUGCGCACUCUUAGUGAAUCGAUCAACGACCACCCAAAUCAUGUCGUGACCAUUCUUUGUUCUGGGCAGUUUAGUGACAAAAUCCAUAGCAAUGUCUUCCCACUUACCCAUAGGCACAGGCAAAGGUUCUAAACUCCCGUACGGUUUCUGAUGUUGUGUCUUGACUCUCGCACAAGUCACACACUCGGCCACAUACUUUGCAACAUCAAGCUUCAUCGUCGGCCACCAGUAGUAGGGUUUCAGGUCCCUAUACAUUUUAGUGCUACCCGGAUGAAUCGAGUACAUGGUCUUGUGAGCUUCUUCCAUCAGAAGAUCUCUGACUCCUCCUGUCUUAGGUAUCCAAAUCCGAUCUUGGAACACCUUCAGUCCAUGACUGUUUACACCGAACACCAACGUUUUGCCCAAACGUUCCUCCUUUCUGUCAUUCUUCUCAGAAGCUUCGCUCUGAGCUUUCUUUAUACUUUCCAAAAUAGUUGAGACAACUUCAAUUCUCAACGCUCUUGGCCUUUUCCUUUCGGGAUUGACUUUCCGACUGAGAGCAUCAGCAACAACAUUAGCUUUACCGGGGUGGUAAAGUAUCUCGCAGUCAUAGUCUUUAAGUAAUUCUAGCCAGCGUCGUUGCCUCAUAUUCAAUUCUUUCUGAUUAAAGAGGUAUUGGAGACUCUUAUGAUCAGUGAAAAGUUUGCACUUCGUGCCAUAGAGGUAAUGCCUCCAUAUUUUCAGAGCGAAAACUACCGCUGCCAACUCCAAAUCAUGAGUCGGGUAAUUCUUUUCAUGCUCUUUCAGCUGUCGAGACGCAUAUGCUAUCACCUUUUCUCUUUGGGUCAAAACACAACCCAAUCCAACACCAGACGCAUCGCUAUAGACAGCGAAGUCUUCAACUCCAUCGGGUAGAGAAAGUAUCGGUGCCUCGCAUAGCUUCUCCUUUAGCUUCUCAAAUGCUUCCUUAUGCUUCUCACCCCAAGCAUAAGUAGCUCCUUUGUGGGUCAAAGCUGACAAUGGACUAGCGAUCGAAGAAAAGCCUUGGAUAAACCUUCGGUAAUAUCCGGCUAAUCCUAAAAAGCUUCGAAUCUCCGUGGGACUUUUCGGUUGUUCCCACUUCGUCACAGCUUCGAUCUUCGCUGGAUCAACCAUUAUCCCUUCUUGGUUGACCACGUGACCCAAGAAUUGGACUUCACGAAUCCAAAAAUCACAUUUGGAGAACUUAGCAUACAGCUUCUCCUUCUUCAAAACUUCUAACACUUCUCGCAAGUGUCUGCCAUGCUCCUCCUGGCUUUUCGAGUAAAUCAGAAUGUCGUCUAUGAACACUAUCACGGAUUUAUCAAGGAACGGGUUACAAACCCUAUUCAUCAAAUCCAUGAACGCUGCUGGAGCAUUGGUUAGUCCAAACGACAUAACCAAGAACUCGUAGUGUCCAUAUCUAGUUCUGAAUGCAGUCUUCUCGAUAUCUUGCUCUCUUACUUUUAGCUGAUGAUAUCCUGACCUAAGAUCGAUCUUCGAGAAAUAGCUCGAACCUUGCAAUUGAUCAAACAGGUCAUCAAUCCUCGGCAACGGAUAUCUAUUCUUUAUUGUUGCCUUGUUCAGCUCUCUGUAAUCGAUGCACAUUCUCAUACUUCCAUCUUUCUUCUUUACAAAUAACACCGGAGCUCCCCAGGGCGAUGAACUAGGUCUAAUGAAACCGUUGUCCAAUAACUCCUGAAGUUGCAUCAUUAGCUCCUUCAUCUCCGUCGGUGCUAAUCGAUAAGGUGCUUUCGCAAUUGGCGUUGUUCCUGGCAACAAGUCAAUACGGAAUUCCACUUGUCGAUCAGGCGGUAAUCCAGGAAGAUCUUCGGGAAAUACUUCCGGAUAAUCACACACCACUGGAAUAUUCUGCAUCACCUUCUUUUCCUUCUUAGCAUCAAUCACGAAUGCUAAAUACGAUGUACACCCCUUGGUCAAACAUUUUCUGGCUUUCAUCAAUGAAAUGAUUCCAGAAUUCACUCUGCGUUUAUCUCCAUACACCAUAAACGAAUCUUUCCCAGGCGGGUUUACUUUGACUAUUUUCUUCUUGCAUAAAAUUUCGGCGUCGUUGGCGCUAAGCCAAUCCAUUCCCAAUACGAUGUCGAAACCAUUAAGUUCGAUAGGCAAUAAUUCCUCGUGGAACUUAUUCCCAUUCAGAUCAAUUAAGAUGUUUUUCAUGCGAUAGCUAACAGGUACAAACUUGCCACUAGCAACUUCGACUAAUAAAGCAUUAUCUAGUCUAACAACAGGCAAAGCUAGCUUUCUACCAAAUUCAUGCGAUAUAAAGGAGUAGUUGGCUCCAGAAUCAAAUAAAAUUUGGGCAGGCAAUUCGUUAACGAGAAAGGUACCUGAAGCGACAUCAGCUUCAUCUUUAGCAGCUUCCAGUGUCAUCUGGAAUGCUCUCGCCUUUGGCUUUGGCGGAAUGUUGGGUCUAGCUGCCUCCUUCUUCUUCGGGCAGUCCCUCGACAUAUGACCCUCCUCACCACAACCAUAGCAAACUUUCUUUGUGAGGGUACACUCAUUGGCAUAGUGCCCUGGCUUUCCACACUUGUAGCAUGUGUUCGCCACCUCACAUCUUCCAUGAUGCUUCUUCUUACAUUUGUCGCACCAUUUCGCUUCACCUCCACCUCCCCUCGAACCAGACUUCGAGAACUUGUUUUUCUUGUUGGACCCUGAAGUUCCAUCGAACUUCCUCUUUUCUCCAACAUCUAUUCUUUCCAGACCCUUUUCCUUCUGCUGGGCCUCCACAUUCUUAGCUGCACGAACAGCCGUUUUCAGAGUGGUUGCCAUUUUGACUGUCGGACCAAAGUCAGCAGGCAGUCCGUUAGCAAACCUCUCAAUCUUGGAGAGUUCCGUUGGCACUAGGUACGGAAACAACUUCAUCUUCUCAGUAAAUGCAGUAGCAUAGUCAUCUAUGCUCAUCUUCCCCUUCUUUAAGUUUUGAAACUCAUUGUUCAGAUCAAUCAGAUCUAUCUCCGAACAAUACUGCACCCUUAACUGUUCCAAGAACUCCUCCCAUGACAUUUUCAGGGCUUCUCCUCGUGGCAUAGUAUCUGCCAACAACUUCCACCAACUCAAGACUCCAGUCUUCAGUUGUCUAACCGCAAAGACGGUCUUCUGUUUGUUGCUACAGUCGCAACUUUCAAAUACCAUCUCCAUUUCGGAGAUCCAAUCCAUUAUCUCAACAGGCUUUGGGCUCCCAGAAAGACUUGGCGGUUUGGCGCCCAAGAAAUUCUUGUACAUACGCCCAUCCUUGUUGUUUCUCCUUUCUGGAUCGUUCCUUCGUUCCUCUUGAGUCCCAACUUGACUCACCAUGCGACUAUUGUUCCCUUCCUCCGAUUGCUCGGGAAUCAAUUCAGGUUCCUCAAUAGGUAUGACAGGUUCAUCCCUAUUAUUAUGCAACAUUUGUCGCAUCUCCUCCCUUUGUUCGGCUAGCAUAGCCCGAAUCAUGGCUUGCACCGCAGCCAUUGUUAUUGGUUCUGGUGCUGCUGCUACAACAGGUAUUUGCUCAAUCACUGGCGGUUGAUUCCUGUUUUCAUCUGCGUUUCCAACGCCACUCCUUGUUCUCACCAUUUUUGAUCUACACACCGAAUAAUUUCACCUUAUUACUCCAAACGAUUACAUGCUAGUUCUAAUAUCGUAUACAUACGCUUAGAAUCCUAAACACAUAAACCUUCAGAUCCGGUUGGCAACAAACCGUAGAUCCGAACAAAUAAUAUCAUAUAUGGCAACAUAUAACAUUUAGCACAUAAAAGCAUUUUAGGCAACUUUCCUAAAAUAAACUAGUGCUCGUGUCUAAAAUCCAACAGACACACAUCUCAAAAUUCCACUUAGCAUUCUAAGUUUAAGUCUAGAAAUCCUACAAAUUCCUAGUUCGCUUAAACUAAUGCUCUGAUACCAACUGUGACAUCCCCAAAAUCUCGGCCAGAAAAGACCGAUUUUCAUUUAUGCUUUUAAAUAUUUUCAGAGUAAAUCCUUUUGAUUUGAAAGAGUUGCGGAAUUUGUUCCCAAAACAAAACAUGAUAAAAUAAUAUUUAUCAAAGCAUUUCAUCAAGAGAUGCAUUUCAUUAUAUAAUCAAAACUCGGGAUGUCAUGUUCCGAUACAGACCAUAAAGCAUAAACGAUAAACAUUACAAGUCAUUCAACAAAUAUAUACAUAUACAGACUUGUAAACAAAACAACAAGAUGAUCCAUCCAUCUUACGCCCUUGUGCCACUUCCUGUAAUACAAAUAAAACUGAGUGGGUCAGGCUUGGGAGCCUGGUGAGCAUAUAGGGUUUUCAACCCACAAUAAAUAAGUUAUAUUUAAUUUCACCAACCAAUCACUAUCCCGAUUACCCAUUCCCGUUAUCCUCACUUUACGUCCCUAAAACAACUAUCUCAAGGGACCUAAUCUAGGAUUUUCAUCGGGACGGACAUCACUGCGAAGGGGUUUCCUCAACAAUAGAUAUCCUAAAGGCAACCAUGAGGGGGAUAGAGUACACCGGUGAACACAUCGUUCACAACACCUACAGGUUAUGAACCUGCUAGCGUUCCACUGGACUGUCUAGAAAGAGUCCGUGGUCGUUAUCCAUACUCCGCUGAAUAACUAGAUCAACAACAACAACAACAUCGAGGCCUCUCAUCUGUUUAUUACACACCAACUAUCUACCCAUGUUCUACCCAACAUAUUAGUAGAUAAGAAUAUAUUUUCAUACAUAGUUUAAAACCUAUAUAUCAUUUUCAUUCAAUAUAUAUAUUCCAUAUAACAGAUGAGGCAUACCACAUAACACGUAUUUCAUAGAAAGCAAUUCAGAUCUAUGAGAUGGAAUAAAGUGAAUAUCCAUUCACGCAUACAAUCACAAAAUAUACACAUAGCAAGUAUAUCGCAUAAAAUACUUCAUAGUUACUUGUUAGAAGAAAGUAACUGCACCCACACACAUAUAAACCACAAUUUACUUAAUACACUCAAACCGCACUUGUAUUAUUAUCGUGUUUAUGAAAGGUAGUAUACACUCACUUGAUCAGAAGAUGAUCGGACAGCACUACGACUUGCAGAAGUAGUAAUCCUCAGCAGAUCUGGAAGAUCUCUACAAAAAUCGAACUUCUCGCGGGCAGAGCUUCGACUCGGGAACCGCACUUCUCGGGAUCUUCGGGAUCUCGGGACUUGCUU